rnacentral:misc_RNA from 1 species
UUUCCGUAGGUGAACCUGCGGAAGGAUCAUUACUGAGUGAGGGCCCCUCGGGGUCCAACCUCCCACCCGUGUUUAACGAACCUUGUUGCUUCGGCGGGCCCGCCUCACGGCCGCCGGGGGGCAUCUGCCCCCGGGCCCGCGCCCGCCGAAGCCACCUGUGAACGCUGUCUGAAGUAUGCAGUCUGAGACAAUUAUUAAAUUAAUUACAACUUUCAACAACGGAUCUCUUGGCUCUC